GCCUAGUUAGCUUAGUUGGUAGUGCGUCUGCCUUGUAAGCGCUAGGCCGCGGGUUCGAUUCCCGCCGGGGCG
rfam:Asian citrus Psyllid, Diaphorina citri - Florida Strain, whole genome shotgun sequence.